GAAGGAAUCUUGCACAAUGGGCGCAAGCUCGAUGCAGCAACGCCGCGUGGAGGACGAAGGCCUUCGGGUUGUAAACUCCUUUUCUGUGGGAAGAGGAAGGACGGUACCACAGGAAUAAGCCUCGGCUAACUACGUGCCAGCAGCCGCGGUAAAACGUAGGAGGCGAGCGUUAUCCGGAUUUACUGGGCGUAAAGGGCAAGUAGGCGGUCUCUCAAGUUGGGCGUGACAUUUCCCGGCUUAACUGGGAAGGGUCGUUCAAAACUGAGGGACUGGAGGACAGGAGAGGCAAGCGGAAUUCCCCGUGUAGCGGUGGAAUGCAUAGAGAUGGGGAAGAACACCAGUGGCGAAGGCGGCUUGCUGGCCUGCACCUGACGCUGAGAGGCGAAAGCUAGGGGAGCGAACGGG
rnacentral:rRNA from 1 species